GAUUGCUCUUCAGUGGAGAUUGCCUCAGUGGUUCCCCACAGACUGUAGGCUUCCAUUGGGUAAAUGUACCUGCAGCUGUUUUUGAAAGGCAAUGUCAGUGAAGUAACACAUGUACAUAGAAAAGCCUGCUCAGGUUCCAGUCUCCGAAUAUUUCAGUGCAUUCAUCUGGGCAUUCUGAAGAUGAGGAAACCUUAAAUAAUUUAUGAUCCUAUCAGGCAAAAAUGGAUACCUUUUUCUUAUAUGCUGCUGGCUCUAGCCCUAUGGUUUCCACUUGGAAGAGCAACAUAAGAUUUAAUAUCUCUUCAAAGAGGAAAAGAGAGAAAGAAAGUGUGUGCACACAAACAAAAGAAAACCAGAACAGACGUAUCUCUUGUUAUUUUACUGUUAAUCCCAAAUUAAAAUACUUUGUUACUGUUCCCACAGUAAACUUGGAAAAGGUGAGAUUGUAUCUAUACAAAAUAGAUCCAUGACGUGAAUUAAGCUAUUUAUCAGCUUCAAAUUCUGUACAUACCAACAGCUGAAUUGCAUUAGGUACACAACUUUGGGCAUCUUUUUUCUGAUUAUUGUAGUGACUAGCACAACAGGUUUCUUAACCUGUGAGUAGGGCCACUGUAUGUUUCAGUGUAAGUGAUUAUUGUAAUUAUUAUUAUUAAAAAAAUUCAGAAGAACAAAGAGCCAGUAUGCCAUUUUUAUAAUAAUUCUAUACAAAUGCUACUGUAAUUUAA